GUACUGAUGGGGAGUCCAAAACUAGGACGAAACAGCUGUCCAGUAC
rnacentral:hammerhead_ribozyme from 1 species